GGGAAGGUGGCUCAGUGGUAGAGCGCUUGCCUUGCAUGCCUGAGGCCCUGGGUUCA
rfam:Dipodomys ordii contig_64711, whole genome shotgun sequence.